UGUGUGAUCUUUAAGGGGAGGUUAAUCUAAUUGACCUUCAAUAUGAGAAUUCUCCGGACAGUUUUGCGACAGAAACAAAAAUACACUGGUUAUGAAUUUGACCAGCGUGAUGCUAAAUUUGGUUGGAGUACAACACGAACAGUUUUGGGCAUCUGUGCAGUUUCAAUGGUAUUCUCUUACUACUUGACAGUCUUCAAACCAAAGAAGAGGAAAGAACUGGAAGAGGCAGAACUGGCUGAUUCAAAAUAGAGGCGUUUUGGUAUCCAACAGUUUCAACCAUUGUACAACAGAGCUGACAUACAGACUUGUGGAACUUUGUGAAUGGUGAUGAGUAUAAAAUUUCAUGAGGGAUAGUGCAGGACACUCGAUAUCAGAUGAAGUCCCUUCCAUUCUUCCGGAAAUAGUUAAUAUAAUGUUUCAAUGCAAUAAAACAUUCUUGAGGUUCUUGAUGUUCAUAGAAUAACUUGUUGUAUAAAUAAGGCAUAUUAGUAAAUGUUUAUUGAUAUGGGAAAAUUUUCAGCUUUUUCAUUUUUUUGCAAGCUAAACUAAAUUGAAAUAUAAUGUUAUUAUAUGGUAUUAUAUGGUAUUAAACCAAAUUGCAAAGUUCAAGUCAGACAUUUUUAGACAGCUAGAACUGAUCACAAUUACAUGUUAUCCAAUACAUGCACACAUUAGACACAUAAUACAUUUCUUUUGAAUACAAUAACACACACAUAUUUGGUGGGUUUUAUUUUCAAAAUAAACACUAUCAUGUAAACAACUUAAAUUGCAAGUAAUCAUGAAAUUACGUUUUGUUCUUAUCUAAAUUGUUUCGGUUGCAUACACUGUUUAAACACAUUUACAUCAAAGAAAGCUCUUGUUAUCAUCCUAGGUUCUGCAUCCAAUGUCUUUCAAGUAGGUCGUCAACUUUUAGCUCAGUACCACUCCAAUUAUGAUGAUUUUUGGUCAGUUUUUAAUCAUGGCAAUAUCUAGCCCAAGGUCAAAACUGGGUCAGAAAAAACUUUUUACAACUGUAAGGGCUACAUUUAUUGCUCAAUCGUGAUAACAUUUCUAAUCUCGAAUUUAACUCAAGGUCAUGUUCGCAAGAAAAAUAGGUCACCAGUUUAAAUCUUACAAAAACCUUGUUUCCACUCUAGAGGCCACAUUUAUUACUCAAUAUUGAUGUAACAUUGUCAGUAUAUUUAUGUUGACAAUAAAAACCCUGUUUGAAUUUGGUUCAUUUGUGUCCAAAUACUAGGUCAUCAGGUCAAAUCUUAGAAACAUCGUGUAACCACUCUGAAGGCCAAAUUUUUUACUCUCAGAAUUUAUAUCUUUACAAUACCAAGGCAAUAUAUGAAUCUAUGUCAAGUUUGGUUAAAGUCUAUUUCACCUAGUCAAUUCUUCAACAAUUUGCGUACCUUCAACACGGAAGAGUGUUUCAGGGCCAUAAUUGCCCUUUUGUUCACGUGUUUUACCGAUCAGUGGGGAAAUGUGAUUGUAAAUGCCUUGUGGUGCUCAAGUUGGAUUUCUGAUGGUGUAGCAUUUGAUAGAGAUUUUACAAAGUCUCCAAAAGUACUGAUGGUACCAAGGAAACAUUUAUACAUCGCAGGGGGCACCUAUUUAGGCAUAUUUCUCUUGUAAGAUUGUUCAAGGUAUUUCUUUGGCUAAGAAACUUCAUGACACACAACGAUGCAUGGCUUAUAAGUGCUAUCUGAAAUCAGAUAAGGAAACCUAAAAAAGAGUCUAAAAUGGCUCAUAGAGUUAUGAAAACAACACAUGCUUUCAAAGAAGGGCUAUUAUCAUUUUUCUAGAUGAUUUAAUUUCAAAAAUAUAUUUCUUUAGCCCCCCCCCCCAGCUCAAAAAUCCAUACGUUAGACAUGUGUAUAAACAUGGUACACCAUGGGUCAAUUGUAUAUUGUUACCUUUUUCGCAGUGGCAUGUGUCAGUUUUAUGGAUUCGUCGAUAAAAGUAACAUCCUAGAUUGAUACUCGUUUACCAAUAUCAUAUGUUAUAUUAAUUCAAAAAUAUGAGUGUUGGUACAUAAGGUGAUCAAUUUAGAAAUGUUACAAAUAUACUAGUAUGCUUAAAUAUAUGAAUUUUAUAGUUUUAGCAUUCCCGCCGUGAUUAGGGGGAAAAUAUGUUUCAAUAUUUUAGACCAUUUCCAUGAUUGUAAUAAACAUAUAUUGAAAUGACACACUGACCGGCGAAAUAAUGAAACUGUGAUUGUUUAUCAUUUUAUAUUGUCAUCAAAUGUUAUUAUUCUUGUUAACAUAUUCUUGUUAACAAUGUGCAUUUUUCAUGUUCUGAAAUAUAGUAAAAAAAACUA